rnacentral:rRNA from 1 species
AUGCGUCAUCAAUCUCAAGAUUUUUUUAGUCCAGACCAGAUCUUAGAGGCCCCUCGGUCAUGCGACACAAGCUCCAAACAGGAAACUAGGCCAGGGGACCUGAAUACUUUCAAGGAUGUCAGGUUUCUAGUGAACUUGAGGCUCUCGAUGGAUGCAAGGGAGCCGCAGUCUCCAAUUUCCAACUUUUCCAGUGCCAUGCAGCAUCCCAGCUGUAGAGACGUCAAUUCUGGACUAUGCCAUACCUCUAAUUUGGUGAUGGCAGGAAGGCAAGACAGAAGAUGGGAUUGGAUGCUGUCCGUGAGAGCCCAAAUCUCAAGUUUAUCAAGUGAUGGAGGAAGCAGGUGA